rnacentral:rRNA from 1 species
ACCAUACUAAGGUAUUGAAAUAAGAUUUUAAAUGAGUGCUAAGAGAAUGGAUGAAUAGGGAAAAACUUUUUUUUAAAAAAAAAUUGAAUUUAAAUUAAAAAUAAGAAUGUUUUUAUAAAAUUAAUAGACAAGAAGACCCUAAAAUCUUUUUUUAAUAAUAAAAUUAAAAUUAAUUGGGGCAAUAGAAAAAUAUUAAAAAAAUUUUUUAAGAAAGAUUUUUUAAUAAAAAUUGAUAAGAUACUUUAGGGAUAACAGCGUAAUUAUUUUGGAGAGUUCAUAUUGGUGAAAUAGUUUGCGACCUCG